rnacentral:tRNA from 1 species
GGAGCGGUAGUCGACGGGCCGGCUGGGGCUGAUGGCCGCGGUGUCGGCGACGGAGACGAUGCGUUUGGCCAGUUCGUACACGGCCCGCUCGU